AGCGAACGUUAGCGGCAGGCCUAACACAUGCAAGUCGCACGAGAAUCCGGCUUCGGUCGGUAGUAAAGUGGCGGACGGGUGAGUAACACGUGGAUAAUCUGCCCUUCGCGGGGGACGAACAGUCCGAAAGGAUUGCUAAUACCGCAUACGUCAGCGAGGUCUUCGGACCUUGUUGGGAAAGGAUGGCCUCUUCAUGAAAGCUAUCACCGAAGGAUGAGUCCGCGGCCCAUCAGCUAGUUGGCGGGGUAAUGGCCCACCAAGGCUUAGACGGGUAGCUGGUCUGAGAGGAUGAUCAGCCACACUGGAAC
rnacentral:rRNA from 1 species